AAACUCUCAUUCUCUCUCUCUCUCUCUCUCUCUCUCUCUCUCUAGAACUUGAACCAACCCUCUCUCUCUCUAGGAUUUUGCGCCGUCCAUUGCCGGAAUUCACGAUCCAUCGUUACCACGUGGAUCAAAAGGAGAAUCUCUACGUUUAUUGUGGAACGGAUCUUCGUUUGUAGAAUUUCGGGAUUUUCCCUAAAAUCGAGGUUUUGGGGACCCCGAGUCGUUGUUUUAAAUCAAUUCGUUCGUGUUUCGGUUUCAAGUUUAAGGUCCUUCAGGGCAUCGAUCCUAGUCUUCUAGUGAGACUUUGGAGCUUAGAAUCUGGUUGAUAGGAGUAAGUUUUUGUACUAGUAUUGGGUCGUUAGCCUGGUUAGUCUCUUUUGGGGAUGUAAUACAGUUUAUGUUUUAAGUAUGAAUCCUAUGCAUUAAAGAUACAGUUAGAACUC